rnacentral:rRNA from 1 species
GGGAAUUUUCCGCAAUGGGCGAAAGCCUGACGGAGCAAUACCGCGUGAGGGAGGAAGGCUCUUGGGUUGUAAACCUCUUUUCUCAGGGAAGAACACAAUGACGGUACCUGAGGAAUAAGCAUCGGCUAACUCCGUGCCAGCAGCCGCGGUAAUACGGAGGAUGCAAGCGUUAUCCGGAAUGAUUGGGCGUAAAGCGUUCGUAGGUGGUCCUUCAAGUCUGCUGUCAAAGCGCAGGGCUUAACUCUGUAAAGGCGGUGGAAACUGAAGAGCUAGAGUGCGGUAGGGGUAGAGGGAAUUCCCGGUGUAGCGGUGAAAUGCGUAGAGAUCGGGAAGAACACCAGCAGCGAAAGCGCUCUACUGGGCCUGCACUGACACUGAGGGACGAAAGCUAGGGGAGCGAAUGGGAUUAGAUACCCCAGUAGUCCUAGCCGUAAACGAUGGAUACUAGGUGUUGCCUGUAUCGACCCGGGCAGUGCCGUAGCUAACGCGUUAAGUAUCCCGCCUGGGGAGUACGCGCGCAAGCGUGAAACUCAAAGGAAUUGACGGGGGCCCGCACAAGCGGUGGAGUAUGUGGUUUAAUUCGAUGCAACGCGAAGAACCUUACCAGGGCUUGACAUGUCGCGAACCUCAGGGAAACUUGAGGGUGCCUUCGGGAGCGCGAACACAGGUGGUGCAUGGCUGUCGUCAGCUCGUGUCGUGAGAUGUUGGGUUAAGUCCCGCAACGAGCGCAACCCUCGUCCUAAGUUGCCAGCAUUAAGUUGGGCACUCUGAGGAGACUGCCGGUGACAAACCGGAGGAAGGUGGGGAUGACGUCAAGUCAGCAUGCCCCUUACGUCCUGGGCUACACACGUACUACAAUGCUACGGACAAAGGGCAGCCAGACAGCAAUGUCGAGCAAAUCCCAUAAACCGCGGCACAGUUCAGAUUGCAGGCUGCAACUCGCCUGCAUGAAGGUGGAAUCGCUAGUAAUCGCAGGUCAGCAUACUGCGGUGAAUCCGUUCCCGGGCCUUGUACACACCGCCCGUCACACCAUGGAAGCUGGCUUAGCCCGAAGUCGUUACCCUAACCCGCAAGGGAGGGGGACGCCGAAGGCAGGGCUGGUGACUGGGGUGAAGUCGUAACAAGGUAGCCGUACCGGAAGGUGUGGCUGGAUCACCUCCUU